UCUCAAGGAACUCACAGUCUAAUGGUAAGGCAACUUGAAAAUAACUUCGUACAAACAAGAUAUAUACAGGGUAAAAUCAACAGAGUAAAGGCACUAGCCUUAAAGAGAACCAUGAAAGGCUUUCUUACAGAAGACAAAAUUUUAGCUGGGUCCAUUAUGGAAGCUCAUGAAGACCAUCCACAGAGGAAUUUGGAUUGGUUUCUCUGAUGAGAACGCUGAUCCUUUAAGUAAUAAAGUAGUUGAUUGCCAACUCUGAGGAUCAGAAUAUCAUUCAUCAGAAGAGACCCCAAGUUGCCUAAACCAACUUAUACAUAAAAAAGAGUUCAAUCUGCAACCUAUUGAACAAGGAAGAUUUUGAUUCAAAUAGAAUUCAUAGACCGGUAACUUACUAGCUCUGGGGCCUUGAGAGGACCUCGAUGGCCAUCUGAUCUAACAAGAAUAUCCUCUACAAUAGGCCUGAAAAUUGGACAGCAGCUGUUGCUUGAAGAACUCA